GACAUAGGUCGCAAACGUUAUCCGGAAUUAUUGGGCGUAAAGGAUGCGUAGCUGGUUCAGUAAGUUACUGGUGGGAAAUCGAGGCCCAACCUCGUGGAAGUUGGUAAUACUGUUGAACUUGAGUGCAGGAGAGGUUAACGGAACUUCAUGUGGAGCGGUAAAAUGCGUAGAUAUAUGAAAGAACAUCAAUAUGGCGAAGGCAGUUAACUAUUCUGCUACUGACAUUGAGGCAUGAAAGCGUGGGGAGCAAAACGG
rnacentral:rRNA from 1 species